UCCACUGUAGUCCCACCCAUGACAGGAAGUGCUCAACAUUUGAUAUUUCUUGUUUGACUGUGGAGUCAAAAUUUGGCACUUCCUGUUUCAGUGUGAACUUGCCACUGAGUUCCUGCAAGAUUCCACAAGAUCUCAUCUCAUUGUUCAACAUUUGACAUUUCC